UUAGAGUUUGAUCCUGGCUCAGGAUGAACGCUUUGCGGGAGGCUUAACACAUGCAAGUCGAGGGGCAGCACGAGAUAGCAAUAUUUUGGUGGCGACCGGCGCACGGGUGAGUAACACGUAUGCAACCUACCCUGUACAGGGGGAUAACCCGGAGAAAUUCGGACUAAUACCCCAUAAAGAUAUGAAGAGGCAUCUUUUUAUAUUUAAAGUUACGACGGUACGGGAUGGGCAUGCGCAACAUUAGCUGGUUGGUAGGGUAACGGCCUACCAAGGCUACGAUGUUUAGGGGACCUGAGAGGGUGAUCCCCCACACUGGUACUGAGACACGGACCAGACUCCUACGGGAGGCAGCAGUGAGGAAUAUUGGUCAAUGGGCGCAAGCCUGAACCAGCCAUCCCGCGUGCAGGAAGAAGGCGCUAUGCGUUGUAAACUGCUUUUCCAGGGGAAGAAAAUUUCGCACGAGUGCGGAACUGCCGGUACCCUGGGAAUAAGCAUCGGCUAACUCCGUGCCAGCAGCCGCGGUAAUACGGAGGAUGCGAGCGUUAUCCGGAUUUAUUGGGUUUAAAGGGUGCGUAGGCGGAUUAAUAAGUCAGUGGUGAAAACCUUCAGCUUAACUGGAGACUUGCCAUUGAUACUGUUAGUCUUGAGUACGGUCAAGGUAGGCGGAAUGUGUAAUGUAGCGGUGAAAUGCUUAGAUAUUACACAGAACACCGAUUGCGAAGGCAGCUUACUGGGCCAUUACUGACGCUGAUGCACGAAAGCGUGGGGAGCGAACAGGAUUAGAUACCCUGGUAGUCCACGCCGUAAACGAUGAUCACUCGCUGUUGGCGAUACACAGUCAGCGGCUAAGCAAAAGCAUUAAGUGAUCCACCUGGGGAGUACGGCCGCAAGGCUGAAACUCAAAGGAAUUG
rnacentral:rRNA from 1 species